GGGUGCUCGAAGACCGUACCAGAAGUGUUUUUGACAUGGACACACGGUUUUCGCCGUUCCCAAAUCAUGUAAAUGCACUAUCUGGUACGACACUUCGGCGCCC
rnacentral:pre_miRNA from 1 species